rnacentral:rRNA from 1 species
GAAUUUUGGACAAUGGGCGAAAGCCUGAUCCAGCAAUGCCGCGUGCAGGCUGAAGGCCUUCGGGUUGUAAACUGCCUUUGUACGGAACGAAAAGCUUUGGGUUAAUACCCUGGAGUCCUCACUGUACCGUACGAAUAAGCACCGGCUCACUCCGUCCCAGAAACCGCGGCAAUACGUAGGGUGCAAGCGUUCAUCGGAAUUACUGGGCGUAAAGCGUGCGCAGGCGGUUUUGUAAGACAGAGGUGAAAUCCCCGGGCUCAACCUGGGAACUGCCUUUGUGACUGCAAGGCUAGAGUACGGCAGAGGGGGGUGGAAUUCCGCGUGUAGCAGUGAAAUGCGUAGAUAUGCGGAGGAACACCGAUGGCGAAGGCAACCCCCUGGGCCUGUACUGACGCUCAUGCACGAAAGCGUGGGGAGCAAACA